AAAAGUAUAGUUACAAUAGGCAGCAACAAACUCAUAAUCUUUCCAUUUCAUCUACAUCCAGAACAAAAAAAAAGAGUGGAUAAAUGGAGAUUUGAGAGAGAAAUUGAGAAAGAGAGAGGUACAGAGAGAACAGUGAGAGGGGGAGAUCGGAGACGGAGAGAGAGAGGGGUCGGAGAUCGGCGAUUCUUCGCCUGAAUCUCGCCGGAAAAUGGGUCAUCUACCGCUGAGAAACACCACCAGCCCCCUUCCCCACAUUUUCCAAUCGAACCAUCGCCAGAAACGUCCCUUCCCCAAAACCCGAUCGAAACCAGCUUCAACGCACUCCAAAUUCCCUCGAAAAAAAUUCAACCAAUAUUCAACAAGAACAGUCACCCCGUUUCUUUUUCAGUGACUAUUCAUAAAAAAUUCAUCAGAAAAUGACAUGGGAUAGGUUCUAAUCUUUUCAAUUUGUGAUUCUUGAUUCCAUUUUAGCGAGGCAAUGCAAAGGGCGUUAGAUCAAAGUUGGAUUUGUUCGUUUGGUUGACGUUUGUUCGAGAUUUCGGUGGCGACAUCGAACAAGUUGGAUUUGAAAUAAAUUGAGGCUCAUUUCUUAUCUCUCUCUCAAUUAAUUUUAAUUGUUUGAUAUUUUGGUGUGUUAAAUUCAUAGUAUGAAUUUUGUUUUCAUUGAUUUUGAGAUAGAAUCACGAUAGGUUGAAGUUGGUAGGCAAAUGAUAAGUCGGGUAGGCAAACGUUAAUUCUUGCUAAUUCAGUUCACUUAUACAGAUUCUGUUGUACAAGGCCUGCAACCAAAUCAAAUUAUCUUCACAGAUGUUGCAAUGAAACAAGAGCCUAGCGUUCACUGGACACUGAUGGUAUCUUGGGUUUGAAUGAGUUAUAAUGUAUACCUUUUUCUGUCUGACCUGAAGAAAGCUAUACCUAUGCUUACAUUUAUCGAGCUUAGGAGUUGUGUACGUAUUCAGUCCUUUAUGUGAUUUGGGUGUUGUUUGGUUCAUUUUUGCAUUUGAAAUUUGCUUAGUUUUGACAUAUUAAGGCCUAACCACACCAUCAAAGUUUUAUUGUUUCUAUAUUUUUCAGUAAGUAUUGUUGAAGUUGUGAGCUUUAUUUGAUUUGAGUGUUGUUAAGGUUUACUUAGUUUGAACAUGUUAAGGCUUAAUCAUACCAUCAAAGUAUUUUUGUUUCUAUAUUUUCCGCAUUAAACUAUGA
rnacentral:lncRNA from 1 species